GGUUAUAGCUCAGUGGUAAGGCAUUCGACUGCAUAUCGAGAGGUCCUCGGUUCAAUCCAGGGUUCACCC